rnacentral:tRNA from 1 species
GUGGGGGUAGCAUAAUAUGGCCUAAUGCAGAUUUGUAGCAAUGCAGAUAGAAUACGGGUUCGAUUCCCGUCCCCCCA